UACGAAGGGGGCUAGCGUUGUUCGGAAUUACUGGGCGUAAAGCGCGCGUAGGCGGUUUUCCAAGUCGGGCGUGAAAGCCCCGGGCUCAACCCGGGAAAUGCGCUCGAAACUUGAAGACUGGAGGCCGGAAGAGGGUAGUGGAAUUCCUGGUGUAGCGGUGAAAUGCGCAGAUAUCAGGAAGAACACCCGUGGCGAAAGCGGCUCUCUGGAACGGUACUG
rnacentral:rRNA from 1 species